CAUAGGUUUGGUCCCAGCCUUCCUGUUAACUCUCAACAGACUUACACAUGCAAGCAUCCACGCCCCGGUGAGUAACGCCCUCCAAAUCAAUAAGACUAAGAGGAGCAGGUAUCAAGCACACAUCUUGUAGCUUAUAACGCCUCGCUUAACCACACCCCUACGGGAGACAGCAGUGACAAAAAUUAAGCCAUAAACGAAAGUUUGACUAAGCCAUGUUGACCAGGGUUGGUAAAUCUCGUGCCAGCCACCGCGGUCAUACGAUUAACCCAAGCUAACAGGAAUACGGCGUAAAACGUGUUAAAGCACUACAUCAAAUAGAGUUAAAUUCUAAUUAAACUGUAAAAAGCCAUAAUUACAACAAAAAUAGAUGACGAAAGUAACCCUACUGCAGCUGAUACACUAUAGCUAAGACCCAAACUGGGAUUAGAUACCCCACUAUGCUUAGCCCUAAACACAAAUAAUUACAGAAACAAAAUUAUUCGCCAGAGUACUACCGGCAACAGCCCGAAACUCAAAGGACUUGGCGGUGCUUUAUACCCUUCUAGAGGAGCCUGUUCUAUAAUCGAUAAAC
rnacentral:rRNA from 1 species